rnacentral:rRNA from 1 species
GACAGAGGGGGCAAGCGUUGCUCGGAAUUACUGGGCGUAAAGGGCGUGUAGGCGGGAUGGCAAGUCGGUCGUGAAAUCCCUCGGCUCAACCGAGGAACGUCGAUCGAUACUGCUGUUCUUGAGGAUUGCAGAGGAGACUGGAAUUCCCGGUGUAGCGGUGAAAUGUGUAGAGAUCGGGAGGAACACCGGUGGCGAAGGCGGGUCUCUGGGCAAUUCCUGACGCUGAGGCGCGAAAGCGUGGGGAGCAAACGGG